GGACCCCGAACCCGUGCCACCAGAGAAUCCACCCUACAUGAGAAGCUGGCUGGAUGAUGAGGAGAUCUUUGACAGUGAAGGCCACUAAAGGCACCUAGCCCAAUGCACAUGCAACCCACAAGCCACAAGGACGAUGGGGCGGCCCAUCAAAAGGGGCCCAACCAGCUAGUCCAGCCGCCGCCAUGGAUGAACCCCCCUCUGCAUUGACAACCUCGCCCGUCAAGCUGCCCACAAAU